UAGAUAAGAUGACAUGAAAUGGAAUAGUAAUGAAGAAUUAAGUACCAAAAUCACCAUAAGAGAAUUCACGCAAUCAAAUUCCUUAAAGAAUCCUUCUAUGUACUUGAAUUUUCUUAGGCUUGAUCAACAAUCUCCUCCAAUCCACUAGAAGGAAUUGGUUUCUUCACUAUUUCUUCGAUGUUUCUUCACUGCUUUGUAUCCACGAAGCCAUGAUCAUGAAAAGCAUGGAAAUAAACACCAAGUUGAAAUUAUUAACAUUUAUGUAUGAAGGAAAGUUCAAGCUCUUGAAGAG